UACGUAGGGUGCAAGCGUUAAUCGGAAUUACUGGGCGUAAAGCGUGCGCAGGCGGCUUUGCAAGACAGAUGUGAAAUCCCCGGGUUUAACCUGGGAACUGCAUUUGUGACUGCAUGGCUGGAGUGCGGCAGAGGGGGAUGGAAUUCCGCGUGUAGCAGUGAAAUGCGUAGAUAUGCGGAGGAACACCGAUGGCGAAGGCGGCGCUCUGGACCGAGACUGACGCUGAGGCGCGAAAGCGUGGGGAGCAAACAGG
rnacentral:rRNA from 1 species